UCAACACCUCUCUUCUCUCCAACCUUAACCUCAAACCCUAGCUGCGGUUUUUCUUUCCACUCUUCUAAAACCCUCAUUAAUCACUGCCAAUGUUUUAGCUUAUCAUCUGAAUCAAUAAAUCUGUCUGAUUUCAUCAUAUAUGUUUGUAAUUUCUGGUGGGUUUUGAUCUGUUUUUCAAAUCUGUACAUGAAGUGAGGGUUUCUUUUGCAAUGUCUGCUUACACAGACUCAGGGAAAUAAACAAAAUCAAGCUUGAAAUUUGCUUCAUAAAUCAGUUGUGAGGGAAGAAUUGAGAAGCAUGGCUAAGCUGUUUUGAGUCUGGAACAGAAACUGAUUCAAAUGGCUCUAAAUCUGAGUCAACAGCAGGUGUCUUUCAAUGUCAAAACCUGACUGCCGCUUAGAGCCAACAUUAACUUUACCAGAGUAAGAUUGCUUGUAACUCACUUAUAUGUUGCUAGCCACAAUAUCUGGCUACAUUUCCAGACCCAAAUAUGUUUCAUUUACUUAGUGCCUCUCUUGGAAAUAUUUGAUUUAGGAUUACAAUUUUGACAUCUAUUUAUUUUCAAGUUUUUUUUUUUUUGGAGAUUUGUGUGCCUUUUUAUAAUAUCAGUUUCCAUUUAUUAUCUGCAUGUUGCACCCCGGGCUUCUCUGAAAUAUACAAUGACGAAAAAAGCCCCAAUGCUCAUGCUAAAUUUUAGCUGUUUAGUGUUGCAGGUUCGCUUAGUUCUUCAACAGCUUAUUUGUGUCAAAAUAACUGCCACAUUUCCUUAUUGUUUUAGUAUUAAAAGUUGCUUAUCAAGUUACGGUUUUGUCGAUGUCAUGUUCUGGUUUAAUUUGAUUCUAUAUCAAAUAUACAAGUAUCUACUGAUCAGAUUAAAAGGCUAAUGAUGAUAAAUUUUUAUAUCUUAGCGGAUUUCAGUGAGAUUUUAUCAAUGAUCUGAAUGUUACACACACUGAAGUCUAAAUCUUUUCUUAUUGAUAUACUUCCAUAACAUGCUUCGAAAUUAUAUUCUCCCAAGUACUGAGGUUCUGUUUUGUUUAAAUUAGUAUAAAAUGCCGAUGAUGACUACACAUAGACCUGUAAUGAUUGCGGAGAUGACCGCACAAUUUGAACAUCUAAGGGGCUGAGGCAUUUAUAAGUAUUCCACAUCUGUUUAGUCAAGCUCUUUUGUUAUUUUUUUUGGAGGUUUGUAUUCUUUGUUUACAGCAUGUUAAUUUUUUUCCGUUCUAGUUGGUUUCAUUUUCCAUGUAUUGUCCGCAUGUUGCACCCCGGGCUUCUCCGAAAUAUAUGAUGACGAAAAAAGCCCCAAUGCUCAUGCUAAAUUUGUGCCGUUUAGUGUUGCAGGUUCGCUUAGUUCUUCAACAGCUUAUUUGUGUCAAAAUAACUGCCACAUUCCUUAUUGUCUUUGUCUUAGAGAGUAGUUUCAAAAGUUGCUUAUUCAGUUCAUUGUUAAGGUUCUGUUGAUGUCAUGUAUUCUGGUUUGGUUUGAUUCUAUCAAUAGAUUAGAUUAAAAGGCUAAUGAUGAUAAAUUUUAUAUCUUACCGGAUUUCAGUGAGAUUUUAUCAAUGAUCUGAAUGUUACACACUGAUGCCUAAAUCUUUGCUUAUUGAUCUACUUCCAGAACUUGCUUCAAGAUUAUUUUCUUCCAAAUAUCGAGAUUUUGCCUUGCUAUUUUGUGGUUGCUAUGGUGUCACAUUUGGGCUUGGAUUGUUUUUCUGAGGAUAAUUAAGAUGGAAGUGAUGAUCCUUUCCCCAGCUGAUCGACUAAGAUUAUAAUGUGCGUUUUGUUUAAAUCUCUUUUUCAACAGAAGAGGUUUUCCAAGCCAGUACUCUGAUCCAUCUUUACAUUCCUCUAUAUAUAAAAUUGUUUUUUAUUUAUUUCUUACAAAAGCUUUUAUUUGCUUACUGUUGGCCAUGUAGAUUUGAUCUCUUUUGCUGUUAAAAAAUGAGUUUGUUGAUUGUUAAUGAUGAUAAAUCUAAGGCUUGUUUCUCAAGAACAUUCGCAGUUGCCGCCUAAGAGCUUUCGCCUUUCGCCGGGCUUGAGAGCUAAUGCUGCUUUAUUCCUUCCUUGGAUGUCUGAAACAU